ACGUAUCCAAUAAUGGGGGAUAACUAAUCGAAAGGUUGGCUAAUACCGCAUACGCCCUACGGGGGAAAGCUAGGGACCUUCGGGCCUGGCGUUAAUGGAGCGGCCGAUAUCUGAUUAGCUAGUUGGUGGGGUAAAGGCCCACCAAGGCGACGAUCAGUAGCUGGUCUGAGAGGACGACCAGCCACACUGGAACUGAGACACGGUCCAGACUCCUACGGGAGGCAGCAGUGGGGAAUUUUGGACAAUGGGCGCAAGCCUGAUCCAGCCAUUCCGCGUGAGUGAAGAAGGCCUUCGGGUUGUAAAGCUCUUUCGCAAGGGAAGAAAACUUAGGCUCUAACAUAGCCUGAGGUUGACGGUACCUUGAUAAGAAGCACCGGCUAACUACGUGCCAGCAGCCGCGGUAAUACGUAGGGUGCGAGCGUUAAUCGGAAUUACUGGGCGUAAAGCGUGCGCAGGCGGUUUUGUAAGUCAGAUGUGAAAUCCCCGAGCUCAACUUGGGAACUGCGUUUGAAACUACAAGACUAGAAUAUGUCAGAGGGGGGUAGAAUUCCACGUGUAGCAGUGAAAUGCGUAGAGAUGUGGAGGAAUACCAAUGGCGAAGGCAGCCCCCUGGGAUAAUAUUGACGCUCAUGCACGAAAGCGUGGGGAGCAAACAGGAUUAGAUACCCUGGUAGUCCACGCCCUAAACGAU
rnacentral:rRNA from 1 species